GACUCAAUCGUAGAAAGGGAAUGGAUACUGCAAUUCUGGAAGUAUCUAGGGGUUAGUGGAAUUUCCGGUGGAGCGGUGAAAUGCGUUGAUAUCGGAAGGAACGCCGAAAGCGAAAGCAGCUAACUAUAGAAUACUUGACGAUGAGGGACGACAGUUUGGGGAGCAAACAGGAUUAGAUACCCUGGUAGUCCAAACCGUAAAUUAUGCUUGCUAGAUGUUUUUAUCAAUUUAUUGGUAGGAGUGUCGUAAUCUAACGAGUUAAGCAAGCCGCCUGGGUAGUAUAUUCGCAAGAAUGAAACUCAAAGGGAUAGGCGGGGGAACACACAAGCAGUGGAUUAUCUAGAUUAAUUGGAUAAUAAGCCAAGAAUCUUACCUAGGAUUGACAUGUAUUGUGUCUGCGGUGAAAGUCGCAUAUCCGUAGCAAUACGGAGCUUUACACAGGUGGUGCAUGGUCGUCGUCAGCUCGUGCCGCAAGGUGUCUAGUUAAGUCUGGAAACGAGCGCAACCCUCGUGUUUAGUUAGUAUGUCUAAACAGACUGCUCGGGUAACCGAGAGGAAGGAGAGGAUGACGUCAGAUCCUCAUGCCCCUUACACCUAGGGCCUCAUAGAUAAUACAAUGGGUAGGUACAGCGAGAAGCGAUACCGUGAGGUGGAGCAAAUCUUUAAAACUACCCCUAGUUCGGAUUGUAGUCUGGAACUCGACUACAUGAAGUUGGAAUUGCUAGUAAUGGCAGAUCAGCCAUGCUGCCGUGAAUACGUCCCUGUUCCUUGCACUCACCGCCCGUCAAACCAUGGGAGCUGAGGUUCU
rnacentral:rRNA from 1 species